UUACGGCCAUAUCAUGUUGAAACAUCAGUUCCCCUACAAUCACGGAAGUUAAGCAACGACAAGCCUGAUCAGUACUUAGAGAGGUGACCGCCUGGGAAUCCCAGAUGCUGUAAG